AGCAAGAGCAACACCUGGCAUAAGUGGCGAAUUUUGGAACCUGUUGCUGGAAGAGAAGUAUCCAAGCCUCAGACAAUGUGCACUGAAUAUGUCUUCCCUUUUUGGAUCAACAUAUUUGUGUGAGUCUGCCUUUUCUCACAUGAAAAUCAUCAAGUCGAAGUACAGAACGACAUUGACUGAUGACCACCUUGCGGCCUGCCUAAGGCUGGCGCUCAGCUCCUACCGCCCGGAUUAUGAGAAGCUUGCUGACUCCUCCCAGUGCCAGAAGUCUCACUAAGUUGAAUUUGAAUCCAUCUGCCGGUUUCUCUGCCAGUGCCAAUGCCCCGUUAAGCAUUCUGAAAUACUGGACUUCCCUUCUCCUCCUGCCUGCUAUGAAGUUAUCUCUACGUGUGUGUGUGUGUGUGUGUGUGUGUGUGUGUGUGUGUGUGUGUGUGUGUGUGUGUGUGUGUGUGUGUUGGACUGGCCUGGCUGGAGUGUGUGUGUGUGUGUGUAUUAAUUGUGGUGUUUUAUUUAGAUUUGGAUUUUUCUUUUCUGGAGUUCUUGGCUGCUCUUUUCUGGAGUUCUUGGCUGCUCUUUUCUGUAGUUUUGGUGUGUCUGAUGAGAGAGAGAGAGAGAGAGAGAGAGAGAGAGAGAGAGAGAGAGAGAGAGAGAGAGAGAGAGAGAGAGAGAGAGAGAGAGAGAGAGAGAGAGAGAGAGAGAGAGAGAGAGAGAGAGAGAGAGAGAGAGAGAGAGAGAGAGAGAGAGGUUCUUGUGAGCUUGUUAAGUUCUGUUUUGACAACCUAUUUUUUGACACAUUGAUCAUUUCCUCGUUUAUUGGACUUAACUUACUGUUUAUUCUCCUGUGCAAAUAAAAAAACAACUACAUUUGACCUGCA